rnacentral:lncRNA from 11 species
UAUAGAUUGCAGGAACCAAAGAAAGGAAAAAUUGCUUCAUAAUGCUAUGGAGAUUCUGGGAUUUCCAAAAAAAAAUCUGGUGAGGAUGUGGCUGACAUCUCUUCAUGAAGCGGAGAAGCAUCAAUAUCUUAUUCAUAGAUCUCUCACUUUGCUGCCACAGUCCUGCCAUCAUUUCUGGACACAGAAGAAUGGAUCCCUUGAAAAUAUUUCUAACCGGACAGUACUAACCUUUCCUUGUUUUGAUCAUAUUUUUGAUUAGAAUCCAUUAGAUGUGACCUAUAUCAUCUGGGAGCUUAAGCAUAACCUGAUGGGAUGCUAUUAUAAGAUGUCAUAAUGUGCAUGUGCAUUACCUUGACUCAUGACAAAAAAGACAAGAUACAAUAAAUACAUAAAUAGCAGUAUAGAAUGUUACGGGUUUGUGAAAAAACAAACUGCAUGCAGUCCUGUCCAGACUUAUCCAGCCCUUUCCUGCAUCCACAAUGAGCAAAAGAAACAAGCCAGGAAAAUGGAAAAAUCAAAAUUUACUCUUAAGUAGCAGAGUAAAAAAACACAAAACCUCCAGCUUCAAAAUAAUUCAGUCUCUUUGAAGCAACAAAACUCACAUAAAGUUCCUUGUAUUAAACUCAUGUAUCUUCUUUAGAGAUUUCUUCAUAGUAGGCUCUCAGCAAGUUCUGAAGCAGGUGAUUCAGUAAGUCCCAAAAAACAUUACACUAUUCCCCCAAGUUAUACCCCAUUCAGGGAGUGGUUCAAGCUUGUUAGCCUUGAUUGUUCUAAUUACUCAACUAUGAGUUGUAAUUGACCAGGUGUUUUUCCCUUAACACAUACACAAGUAGUGAUCCCACAGAAACUUAGUCAAAUACAUGCAUAUACAGCAAUAUAGAAUGCAUUUUUCAGAGAUAAUAUUUUAAAGUGUGUGACCAGCCAAAAUUGUUUUGUGUAGUGAAAUAAUUAUCAGGAUUUAACUGACCAUAACAUGAAGCUACUACAAAUAACAAGGAGAAUUUCAAUGCUUGUUAAAAACCAUAUUUUGAAAAAAGUACCAUAGUGAUAAUCUGAAGCUCUCUCUUUCUAUUUCUGACUUUUAUCUUUAGUGAAAAGUAGAAAAUGCCAAUGCAUAUAUUUCAAUCUCAUUUUUUUAAAAAAGCUUCUCACUUCUAGGGUUUUGCUUCUUCACCUGCAAAAUUCAUCAUUAAAUAUUCUGCUAAGAUGUUUUUUAACUCCUUUCUACAUUUUCUUUUUUUUAUGAUUAAGGUCUGGAAUGGCUGGAGGUCAGAGCUGUUAAAGUACCUUGAGUGUUAGUUUCAUCUGUCAAGCCUUUAUUCCAAUUCUGUCA